UGAGGAAUAUUGGUCAAUGGACGAGAGUCUGAACCAGCCAAGUAGCGUGCAGGAUGACGGCCCUCUGGGUUGUAAACUGCUUUUAGUUGGGAAUAAAAAGAGGGACGUGUCCCUAAUUGUAUGUACCAUCAGAAAAAGGACCGGCUAAUUCCGUGCCAGCAGCCGCGGUAAUACGGAAGGUCCAGGCGUUAUCCGGAUUUAUUGGGUUUAAAGGGAGCGUAGGCGGGACGUGUAAGUCAGCUGUGAAAGUUUGCGGCUCAACCGUAAAAUUGCAGUUGAAACUGCCGUUCUUGAGUGUGCGCAGGGAUGUUGGAAUUCGUGGUGUAGCGGUGAAAUGCUUAGAUAUCACGAAGAACUCCGAUCGCGAAGGCAGAUGUCCGGAGCACAACUGACGCUGAGGCUCGAAAGUGUGGGUAUCAAACAGG
rnacentral:rRNA from 2 species